AAGGAGUUGGCUAGACUCCCAAAUAUAUAUAUGUAUAUAUAUGUUUUAUAUAUAUUUGGGAGUCUAGCCAACUCCUU
rnacentral:miRNA from 1 species